AGCAGGAGCCAUGGGGCACUGGGGAGCCAUAGAGGGUUCAUGCGAAGGGAAGGCCACGGUCAGACAGGCAUUUCGGGACCCUCAGGCUGGUUGUGCUGACAGCCAGACUGCAGUGGGCAGAGCCGGGGGAGAGAGAUGGGGCGGGGGGCUGCGGUAGCUAGCUGUGGAGAAAAGUGACGUGUCUGAAGCCGGGGAGUGUGUGGGCAGGAAGGACCAGACCGGGAGAGGGGAGAAGCGGAAGGGGGGUGGGGGGAGGAUUGGAGGCGACUCAAGGAAGCACAGGGGGGAGGCCUGGGGUGGAAGAGACUGCGGAAUGGAGAAGCGAGAUACAGCAGGAACAGACUUUGGGCUGACACCGGGAAGGUCGUUGCGGGGGCAGGAUCGAAUGAGCAGGAGGGCGGGUGCCAAGGCUGUUCUGAGCGGUGCUGUCUGUCUUGAGGGGUGGAGUUCAUGCGGGACUUUCCACCCCGGUUUUGCCUGAUGUCGAAGGCCCCAAACAAAACGAACAGGCAUCGCCGUAUGACUCCCCGGAGCACGGGAGGAAAAUGUGUUUACAGAGGACCAGAGAGCAAACGUUUUACGCACACCACCUCUGUUGCAAUCCCUCCACUCUGCCAUUAUGGUACGAAGACAGUUGCAAGAUGAUGCCCUGAACAAGCCCUCACCUCUCUGACCUCAGUUUCCCUCCCUGUAAAAUGGGUUGGAGAAAAUUAGGGUCUGUAUUCAUUGCCCGCGGCGGCUGUAACAAACCACAGACCGGAUGUCUUAAAGCGGCAGAAAUGUAUUCUCUCGCAGCCUGGAGGCCAGAACUUUGACAUCCAGGGGCCUGCGCUCCCUUCCAGGCCUCUGGGGGAGGACCCUUCCUGCCCCUCCCACCUUCUGGGGGCUCCAGGCUCUCCAUGACUUGUAGCCACACCCCUCUCCUCUCUGCCUCCGCCUUCUUCUCUUUCUCCUCCUCUUCUGUCCGUCUCAAAUCUCCCUCUGCCUCUCUGGUCUAAGGACAACUGUCACUCGAUUCAGAAUCCCCCUGGAUAGUCCAGACUCUUAUGAUCCUUAACUUAACGCCCGCAAAGACCCUUUUUUCCAAGUACGUUAACAUUCACAGGGCCACCAUUCAACCUACUACAGGUGUCUUUAAGGUGCUUAAAAAGGCGAAUGAAAUCA